rnacentral:rRNA from 1 species
UACGAAGGGGGCUAGCGUUGCUCGGAAUCACUGGGCGUAAAGGGUGCGUAGGCGGGUCUUUAAGUCAGGGGUGAAAUCCUGGAGCUCAACUCCAGAACUGCCUUUGAUACUGAAGAUCUUGAGUUCGGGAGAGGUGAGUGGAACUGCGAGUGUAGUGGUGAAAUUCGUAGAUAUUCGCAAGAACACCAGUGGCGAAGGCGGCUCACUGGCCCGAUACUGACGCUGAGGCACGAAAGCGUGGGGAGCAAACAGGG